GGUUCAUUAGUGUAGCGGUUAUCACUUCGGAUUCUGAUGUUCCUCUGGGAUUAGAGACCUUCCGACAACCCCGGUUCGAAUCCGGGAUGGCCUC